rnacentral:rRNA from 1 species
CGGCGUGCCUAAUACAUGCAAGUCGAACGGUCUUUCUAUGGAAGCUUGCUUCCACUGAGAAGAUAGUGGCGAACGGGUGAGUAACACGUGGGUAACCUGCCCAUAAGAGGGGGAUAACAUCCGGAAACGGGUGCUAAUACCGCAUAGUUUUCUUGAUCGCAUGAUUGAGAAAGGAAAGAUGGCCUUUGUGCUGUCGCUUAUGGAUGGACCCGCGGCGUAUUAGUUAGUUGGUGAGGUAACGGCUCACCAAGACGAUGAUACGUAGCCGACCUGAGAGGGUGAUCGGCCACAUUGGGACUGAGACACGGCCCAAACUCCUACGGGAGGCAGCAGUAGGGAAUCUUCCGCAAUGGACGAAAGUCUGACGGAGCAACGCCGCGUGAGUGAAGAAAGGUUUUCGGAUCGUAAAACUCUGUUGUCAGAGAAGAACAAGUUGGAGAGUAACUGCUCCAGCCUUGACGGUAUCUGACCAGAAAGCCACGGCUAACUACGUGCCAGCCGCCGC